CCAGACUCCUACGGGAGGCAGCAGUGAGGAAUAUUGGUCAAUGGGCGAGAGCCUGAACCAGCCAAGUCGCGUGAAGGAUGACGGCCCUACGGGUUGUAAACUUCUUUUGUCAGGGAGCAAUUGGGUCCACGCGUGGGCUUAGCGAGAGUACCUGAAGAAAAAGCAUCGGCUAACUCCGUGCCAGCAGCCGCGGUAAUACGUAGGUGGCAAGCGUUGUCCGGAUUUACUGGGUGUAAAGGGCGUGCAGCCGGAGAGACAAGUCAGAUGUGAAAUCCACGGGCUCAACCCGUGAACUGCAUUUGAAACUGUUUCCCUUGAGUGUCGGAGAGGUAAUCGGAAUUCCUUGUGUAGCGGUGAAAUGCGUAGAUAUAAGGAAGAACACCAGUGGCGAAGGCGGAUUACUGGACGAUAACUGACGGUGAGGCGCGAAAGCGUGGGGAGCAAGCAGGAUUAGAUACCCCGGUAUGG
rnacentral:rRNA from 1 species